UGGCGACGGUCGCCGACGGCGGCGCCUGUGCCAGGCUAGGUGCACCGUGAAGAUGCGCGAGGGAGAGGGAAGGAACAGAGGCGGGUUGCCUUGGGGGCGGUCGACCGACUUGAGAUGACUCCUGGCAGAUGGAUCCCCUCACCCCGAGUAGCCUUGACAGACUGUUGGGGCGAGUAGCAGUGCUAAUGAAGGUAAGAAAAUGAAUCAAUUGUACGAUUCGAGGGAGCCGAAUGUUAUUGACGAGGAGAUGUUGAUACAGGCCGUGGAAGAACAAGACCCCAAGCGACAGGCUGGAAAGAUUUCUCACCUGCAAGACGUUGACUUCAAGGAGAUAACGCACCUGAGACUUGACUUUAAAAACAUUCUUAGAAUUGAUAACCUUUGGCAGUGUAACAACAUUACAAAACUGCAACUGGAUAACAAUUUAAUUGAGAAUAUUGAAGGACUCGAGUCACUUAUCAAUCUCCAAUGGCUCGAUUUGUCAUUUAAUAACAUUGAAGUUAUCAAAGGUCUGGAUACAUUGACAAAACUCGAAGAUUUGAGUAUCUGCAACAACCGAAUUUCACGACUAGAAAAUAUGGACUCAUUAAAGAAUUUGCAAAUCCUCUCUGCUGGAGACAACUCUCUGGAUCAGUUACCAAAUAUGGUUUACUUGAGAACAUUUCCGAGACUUAGUUCUCUCAAUCUGAGAGGAAACCCUUUGUGUGAGGAUGAGCAAUACAAGUUUUACAUUGCUGCAUAUUUACCAAACCUGGUCUACUUGGAUUUCAGACGUCUGGAUGACAAUACGAAAGAGCAAGCAUUUCAAAAGUAUCACUAUUUAAUUGAGGAGCUCAAGCAUAAUGAGAACAUUGCGUUGCAGAAGAAAGAAGAGCAUUUGCAAAAGGAAAAAAUGCUAGCAUUGCACAAGGCUGCAUUUGUGGACACUCUGGAUGACAAGGCUGUCUUUGACAACAUGUUUUCUGAAGAUACAGAUGGUGCAAUACUUCAAUCAUUGCCUGAAAUGUCAGGUUUUGCUGAUGAUUAUCGACAGAAGUUUGUUGACAUUUGCCGGAAGAUUUUUGAAUAUGGACUGCAGCAGUACAAGAAGAGGGAGGAAGAAGUCGAUGAUUUCACCAGGUCUGUAAACGAAGUGAAGAGCGACAACCGGCAGGCGGCUUCGGCCAUCAUCAGCGACUUUGAAAAAGAAAACGCACAGCUUCUCGAAGAAGUACAGCAGAUCACCGAUGCUGCUCUUCUGGAUGCUAAGAUUUUGGAGCACAGCCAGAAAAUAAAUAAUAUGUGGGAUGCGUUGAUGAAACUAGAGAUCCAACUGCUCGACCAGCUGGAGGAUGUGGUGAAGGACUUUGAAAGGAACCUCACUGACAUGGUUGCCGCGUUUAUUGAAAACGUGCAAGGAUUGUUGUCCCAGUGCCGUGAACUGGAGAACAACUACCAUGAGAAACUUUUAGAGGUGUUGAUGUCUACAUUUGACAAGAUUGUCAAAAAUGAACUAAAAGAAGAAUUAUCUGAAGAUCUGAGACUGAUAUUCACAGACAAGGACUCACUCGUCAAUGCGGCUAGUGCUUCACACGAUAUUCACCUACUGAAGAUUGACAACAAGGAAGAUGACAUCAUUUCUCGAGCAAACACCUGGAUGGCCACCUUUGUCCAAAGGGUUCAAGACGAAGAGGUGAAACGUAAUCGCGCCAGGGUCACCGAGAUCAAUCACUACGUCGACUAUCUGCACGAGGAGCUACAGAACCAGGACAUCCAGGACUCUCUGUAAACACCUCUUAGAAUCUCCCAAGAUUCUGGAAGUGUGCAUGUAAUGACAUUAAUGAUAAAUAACAAGAACGUAUUUGCCCAGGGAAACCGCACAAAGUCUGAAGAGACCGUUUCAAGAGGGUGUAUGGCUCCAUUGGGAUGUUUGGCCAACGCCAAUGACAUUGUGCGUUGGGUAACACGAAACUUCUGCAAUUGUAGCCUCUUCAACAUGGCCAUUAAAGUUUUGUAACGAUUUUAGUGUGUCUAUGAAGGUAAUUUCCAUUAUUAUUACGAGAUUAUUGAUAGCAAACUCGCUAUUAUAAAGUCAAGUAUGCAUAAAGGGCGUUUACGUAUUAUUUAUGAAAACGUGUUUCAUUUCACUUCAGCUUUUUCAUUGAAAAUUGUAAACAUUCGACUUACGAUUCCCAUCUGCCUCUCAGGACUCUUAGCGGCCGUCAUUCGUAACCGACGUUGAUGGCUCAUGAAGCAAAACUUUGUCAAAACACACAAGACGUACUUUGUGGGGCAGAAAAAUCCAUCCUCAAAAUGGUGGCUAUUUUGGUCUGCUCAUUACGAGGUGGGGAGGACGAGUUAACUUGUACUUAUAUAAGAGCUACAAAGAUAAUAUUUGGUAUCAAACAUUAGGCUUCUACGGUAAAACAUCUCAAAGGCCGAAUUCGGAGUUAGCCGGAGAGGAUACCGAAGAUACAUUCGAAAAAUAAACCAAAAAAACCUGACCAAUGUCAACACAUUAGUCAAGCUGCACGGCGUUUGGAUAUGGGGCACGUCUCUGCAAUGUUCAGUGUGUGUAAUAUUGUGAUACAUUCAUUUUGAAAUGCUACUAGAGGCUUUUGAAAGUUAUGAAAGAGCUGAAGUGCAAAAUAUAGCACGUUUUUUCCCAAACUAUAUUGUAAUGUAAACUUCAUUUCCGUUGUAACAUUUACAUGCGCUUGAAUACACCAUUUCAAUGAAUGUAUCACCCAAAAAAAUACAAUUCUACCGACUAAGGUGAUACUACACUAUGAAAAAUCAGGCUUAGGCAGUAAUCUUGACCCAUACUUUUACUGCAUCAAAUAUAAAGCAUAUUACAAUGUAUAAAAUGAAGUAAAAAAUCAUACGAUUUUAAACAAAUUGAUUACAUUGUACCCAAGGUUGCAGAUAUCGGUUUAGACCACAACCCAGUUAUUGUAGAAGAGUGAAGCGAGGGAGUGACCUCGAGGAUUGAGAACUUUUAUGUAAUUUUACUACGAACUUUCUUAAAAAGUAAUUUAUCCCAAACCAACUUUCAUUCUAGGAAAAUUUAGUUUAAUUUCUGUGUGUGCACUAUUUUCAAUUUUCUCAAGUUGUUUUUGCUCCGAUUUCUAUUUGGUAAAUUUUGCUCCGAUUUACAUUCGCUGAAUUUUGUUGUACUUUGUUUUGUGAUUUAGUCACCCAGGUCUCUUGCAAGUGAGACUUCCCCUGUGUCUCUGAGUUGUCAUCUGCUUGAACAAAAUAAACUUGAAUAAUCGUGA